CUACCACCUGAUCACAAAUAAUAUUCAGUGCAUACACCAACAUACAAGUAAGAUUAAGAACAAAUACGCACUAAAGCGCCCCAAACCCGACAUUCAAGCCUCUACCGUUUGCGCUACCGAUCAAGACAGCAGUACCGACUCUUCUCUUUUUCAUAUACUUCAGAAUACUCAUCCAAAAAUUACCACAAUUUAUCAGACCAUGUAAAACUCUGUUAUGUACAACUUUUGUAUUGAAAGGUUUUGCAUCAGAGGUCCGUAAGAUGGUAUAAUUAACCAUAGAACACAACUGAAUAUUUCUGACAUUCAAAACAGAACAUCAAACUUCAAAAAUUCAUAACUGGAGAUAUACUUAUUCAAAAGUUACAAACUUUACCAAUCUAGAAAGCUUAACAAAAAUUCUAAAACCUUUGUUAAUAAUCAAAGACCUAAUUAUUUCAUUAACAGGGUCAAAAACUGCUUAGAUCCAAAACUGUCCAGAUUUUCGUCACUGGAAAACAGUCAGAUUGAAAACUCGAUAUCUCACAAAUUAUAAUUGCUAUGACAGAGUUCUUGGUGUCCAAAGAAAGACAUUGAAGUCCUCUACAACUUUGUCCACAGGCUCAAAAAUUAUUAAAGCUUCUAAAAUGCCCUAACAUUACGAUGAACAGGGACUGCUCAGUCUGACGAGAAUUUCAGAACAAGAACGAAAUUGACUUCGAUAAUUUCUCAACUAAACCCAAUCCCAAAUAAGCGAUUUAAUCCGCAAAACUUGAUCAGAUAAAGGGGAUUAAUAUUUGGCUUCUCACCUAGAGAACCACAGCGAGCACGACGCAAAAACUCCCGGCGUCUACUCCUUCUUCUCCGCCUCUUCACCUUUCCAUCAUCUCUGAUCCAACUCACCACGAUCCUUGCCGCCACAAAGGCCUUGUUAUUCCGAUCUACGCCAAACAUGGCUAAGCCCUCAUGGACAGCAAAGGGACAUGGUGGAUCAAUGGGACAGCCAAGAUACGUGGUAGAACCUAACCGUAAUUUGCACGGGAGGAAGAACGACCACCACGGAUGACCGACGACGGCGGUGGCAAAACCCUAGGCCCUCUCCUCCUCUUCCCUCUUCUCCUUUCUCUCUUUCGUGAAUUUGGUAGGUAGGAUGGCGGCGGUUCGUGACCAGGUUGGGAGGAACAGGGAAAACACCGACUCGGAAAAGGGUCGGGCGUGGUACUGUACACCGUGGGUACUGUAGCACCGGCUACAGUAUUUUAUUUUUUAUUUUUUACCUUUUUUUUCUUUAUCUAUUUUCCCUCAGGCGUUAAGUCUACCCUCCUAAAAAAGAAUUCAUCCUCGAAUUCAGCUGCAUCUACGGUAUAAGCCAAGAUAACGGUAAACACACAUAUUUGCAUAAAACUCACCGGUGUCAAAUAGUUCAGGAUACUCCUUACGCAUCUGCUCCUCAAGCUCCCAAGUCGCUUCACGUUCAGGCUGAUUUGCCCAUAGAACUCUGACAUAUUUGAUAAUUCUUCUCCUUAGAACACGCUCUGAUGAUUCUAAAAUACGCACUGGCUCACACUUCACAGUCAAGUCCUGCUCCACAUGAAUAGGCUCUAAGUUGAUCUUAUGCUCGGGAUCUCGCAGAUACUUUCUCAACAUAGAAACAUGGAAGACAUUAUGAAUUCCCUUCAUAGACUCGGGCAACUGCAAGCGGUAAGCCAAGCUACCGACUCAGGCUAUGAUAUCAAAAGGUCCAAUGUACCUCGGGCUGAGCUUUCCCGUAGUACCAAACCGCACAACACCCUUAGUAGGCGAUACUCGAAGAAGAACUUGAUCACCCACUGCAAACUUGAGAUCUCGCCUUCGAACAUCUGCAUAGCUUUUCUGGCGGCUCUGAGCAGCCAACAUAUUCUGACGUAUUUCUGGUACCUUCUUAGUUGUCUGUUGAAUCCAAUCUGGACCAACUAAAGACCUCUCUCCUAGUGUUUCCCAACACAACGGUGAGAUACAUCUUCUACCAUACAAAGCCUCAUAUGGCGCCAUCUUUAUACUAGCUUGAUAGCUGUUAUUAUAAGCAAACUCAGCCAAAGCUAGAUGAUCCUCCCAACUUCCCCUCCAAGAAAGGACACAAGCACGCAACAUAUCCUCCAAAGUAUGGAUAGUGCGCUCAGACUGACCAUCAGUUUGAGGGUGAAAAGCAACACUCAUGUCAAGCUUCGUCCCUAAAGCGCUAUGCAAACUUUUCCAGAAAUUAGAAACAAAUUUGGAGUCUCGAUCAGAAACAAUAGACUUUGGUACUCCAUGUAGCCUCACUAUCUCCUUAAUAUACAAUGGGACCAAAUCUGCAGCAGAAUUCUUGGUGUUCAUUGGAAUAAAAUGAGCCAUCUUGGUGAGUCUAUCUACAACAACCCAAAUUGCAUCUUUACCCCGUGGAGAACGUGGCAAACCAACCACAAAGUCCAUAGUAAUAUAUUCCCACUUCCAUUCUGGAAUUUCUAGGGUUUUCGAUAAUCCUGCAGGCCUCUUGUGCUCAGCCUUCACUUGCUGGCACACACCGCAAGCUGCUACAUACUUGGAAACAUCGGCCUUCAUCCUCUUCCACCAAAAGCUCUGCUUCAGAUCUCUAUACAUCUUUGUCUCACCAGGAUGAACUGUGUAUGGAGUACGAUGAGCUUCUCUUAAGAUAUCUAUUAUUUUCACCUCUGAUUUCUGUGGCACACAAAGGCAUCCCCUAAAACAAACCGCAUCAUUCUGAUCAAUACUAAACUCACGAGGUUUGCCAUCACCAACACUCUUGCGAGCCUCCUGAAUCAAGCGAUCAUGCUUUUGAGCCUCACAGACCCUCUCAAGAAGGUUUGACUGAAUGAGCAACUGAGUCUCCUCUCUUGCUGCACCAAAAUAGCACAAGGAGACACCCAUACGAUUCAAAUCUGCAAUCAAGGGCAUUGCCACCUUAGGAACCCCAGUUCUACUAAGAGCAUCUGCCACCACAUUCGCCUUCCUAGGAUGAUACUGAAUAGUAAGGUCAUAAUUUUUUAUCAACUCAAGCCACCUACGCUGCCUCAACUUUAGCUCCUUCUGAGUAAAAAUAUAUUGAAGGCUCUUAUGAUCAGUAUAAAUAUCACAUGGCUCACCAUAUAGAUAAUGCCUCCAAGACUUCAGGGCAAACACCACAGCAGCCAACUCUAGAUCAUGGGUAGGAUAAUUUCUCUCAUGUUUCUUCAACUGCCUAGAGCCAUAAGCAAUCACUUUGCCAUCUUGCAUCAAUACACAACCAAGACCAACACAGGAUGCAUCUGUGUACACCGUGAAACACUUGCCACUCUCAGGUAAGGCCAAGAUAGGAGCAUUCACCAACUUAUCCUUUAAAGUAUGGAAACUGAUCUCACAAUCAUUGUUCCAUACAAAAGGAACACCCUUCUCAGUAAGCCUCGUCAUCGGCUUUGCAAUACUAGAGAAAUCCUGCACAAAACGCCGAUAAUAGCCAGCAAGACCAAGAAAACUGCGAAUCUCAGUCACUGUAGUAGGUCUCUGCCAAUUAACAACGCUAGCUACAUUCUUGGGAUCCACUGAAAUGCCAUGUUGAUUAAUAACAUGACCUAGAAAAGCCACUUCAGAGAGCCAAAAAAAGCGCACUUCUUCAAUUUCCCAUAAAAUUGAUUCUUCCGAAGGGCAUCAAGAACAAGGCUAAGAUGUAGCUCAUGCUCUUCCUCGGACUUAGAGUAAAUCAAGAUAUCGUCAAGGAAAACAACGACAAAAUCAUCCAAGUACUCAUGUAGCAUCCUAUUCAUAGCUUCCAUAAACACAGCAGGGGCAUUUGUUAGUCCAAAAGACAUAACAAUAUAUUCAUAAUGCCCAUACCUGGUGCUAAAAGUUGUCUUCUCUAUAUCUUCAUCCCGUAUUCUCAACUGAUGAUAGCCAGAAUUCAAGUCAAUCUUAGAGAAUACCUUGGCACCUCUCAAUUGCUCAAAGAGCACUUCAAUACACGGUAAAGGAUAUUUAUUCUUGAUGGUUACCCGAUUAAGAUCUCGAUAAUCCACACAUAACCUCUUAGUACCAUCCUUCUUCUCCACAAAUAGCAUAGGGAAAGCCCAAGGUGACUUGCUAGGUCUAAUAAAACCCUUAGCAAGAAGAUCAUCCAACUGCCUCUUCAACUCAACCUGCUCUUUUGGAGCCAUCCAAUAUGGAGUCUUAUGGAUUGGCUGCGUACCAGGAACCAACUUGAUUUCAAAAACUGCAUCACGCUCAGGAGGAAUACUUGGAAGUUCAGCAGGAAACACGUCAAGAUAAUGACACACCACUCGUAUGUCCUCCACUCUCAAGGCAACCUCACUACCAUCCACCAUAGAAAAGAGAAUUCCAGAUUUCCUAGUUCGACGAUCUGAGAACAACAGACAAAAUAGAGCAAGAGAGUACUUCAUAGCACUCCCAACAAAGAUCACCUCUCUACCAGAAGGUGCCUGCAAAGAUACUGUCUUCCAGAAACAAGAGAUAAUAGCCCGAUAUUGUGAAAGCCAAUCCAUGCCCAAAAUAACAUCAAAGGACUCAAGGGGAAUCACCACUAGAUUAGCAACAAAACCCUCCUCAGCUAGAAAAAUAUGGCAACCCGGACAAAUCAAAUGACUUGAUAUAGAGCCUUUAGCAGAACUAACCACAAUGGACUGACCAAUCUUCUGCAUAGAAAGGCCAGCACGAGCCACAAACCCUUUCGAGACAAACGAGAAACUAGCGCCAGAGUCAAAAAGAGCAUAUGCAUCAAAUGAAUCAACUAAUAUAGUACCUGUAACAACAUCUCCACACCUAGAGCCUGCUCCACAGUGGUGCGAAAAUCCACCAGUGGAAAGGCCCCCAAAGUGUGCCUGAUCGAUGGUUUCAAACCCUGACGAAACUGGAAUGCCUUCUCUACCUCAUUACGGGCCACAUGUGGAACAAAGCGAACAAUCUUGUUGAAGCCCACCUCAUACUCUGCCACUGUUUUCUUAUCCCAAAUAAGCGGUUUAAACCGCAAAACUUGAUCAGAUGAAGAGGAUUAAUAUUUGGCUUCUCACCUAGAGAACCACAGCGAGCACGACGCAAAAACUCUCGGUGUCUACUCCUUCUUCUCCGCCUCUUCACCUUUCCAUCAUCUCCGAUCCAACUCGCCACGAUCCUUGCCGCCACAAAGGCCUUGUUAUUCCGAUCUACGCCAAACAUGGCUAAGCCCUCAUGGACAGCAAAGGGACAUGGUGGAUCAAUGGGACAGCCAAGAUACGUGGUAGAACCUAACCGUAAUUUGCACGGGAGGAAGAACGACCACCACGGAUGACCGACGACGGUGGUGGCAAAACCCUAGGCCCUCUCCUCCUCUUCCCUCUUCUCCUUUCUCUCUUUCGUGAAUUUUGUAGGUAGGAUGGCGGCGGUUCGUGACCAGGUUGGGAGGAACACGGAAAACACCGACUCAGGGUAGGAGAAGGGUCGGGCGUGGUACUGUACACCGUGGGUACUGUAGCGACGACUACAGUAUUUUUAUUUUUUUUAUUUUUUACCUUUUUUUUCUUUAUCUAUUUUCCCUCAGGCGUUGCAGUUAAGAAACUAUUUUGGACGCACCCGAUGGUACUCCUAGGUCAAGGUGCUCAAGUGAAAGCCCGAUUUGGUCUGUUUGGAGAUAGUGCUAAUCUUGAUGCAAGAUAGAUGCACGGUUUGCAUGGAACAUACGAUAUGCUCAGAAAUCAAUUAGGACCUACCUGAUAUAAGUCCUUGAUAAUGUGUGUCAUAUGGAAUCUUGCUUUGGUUCGUUUAUAGAAAGUUUUAAUUUUGGUAGAAGAUAUGUGCACGGUUUACGCCUAAUGCACCAUAGGCUAAGAAACCAUUUUAGACGCACCCGAUGGUACUCGUAGUUGAAGAGGCUCAAGUGGAGGCUCGAUUUGGUCUGCUCGGAUAUAGUGUUAAUCUUUAUGCAAGAUAGUUGCACAGUUUGCAUGUAACGUACCAUAUGUUAAUAAAUCAAUUUGGACGCACCCAAUGGAACUCCUAGAUGAUGUGUGUCAUAUGGAAUCUCGCUUCGGUCUAUUUGGAGACAAUGUUAGUUUCAGUGCAAGAUAGGUGCAUAGUUUGUGCCUAAUGCACCAUAGUCUAAGAAACCAUUUUUGACGCACGUGUUUCUACUCCUAGAUGAAGAGGCUCAAGUGGAAGCUCGUUUCGGUCUAUUUGGAGACAGUGCUAGUCUUGAUGCAAGAUAGGUGCACGGUUUGCAUGGAACAUACCAUAUGCUUGGAAAUCAAUUUGGAUGCACCUGAUGGGACUCCUUGAUGACGUGUGUCAUAUGGAAUCUCGCUUUGGUCUAUUUAGAAACAGUGUUAGUUUCGGUGCAAAAUAUGUGCAUGGUUUGUGACUAAUGCACCAUAGUCUAAGAAACCAUUUUGGAAGCACCUGUUGGUACUUUGGUGAAGAGGCUCAAGUGGAAGCUCGGUUUGAUCUGUUUUGGAGAUAGUGCUAAUCUUGAUGCAAGAUAGGUGCAUGAUUUGCAAGGAACAUACCAUAUGCUUAGAAAUCAAUUUGGACGCACCCAAUGGAACUCCUAGAUGACGUGUGUCAUAAGGAAUCUUGCUUCCGUCCGUUUAUAGACAUUGUACGUUUUAGUGCAAGAUAGGUGCACAGUUUGCACCUAAUGCACCAUAGUCUAAGAAACCAUUUUGGACGCACUAUUUGGUACUCCU
rnacentral:lncRNA from 1 species